rnacentral:rRNA from 1 species
CACGUAGGGCGCAAGCGUUGUCCGGAAUUAUUGGGCGUAAAGAGCUCGUAGGCGGUCUGUUGCGUCUGCUGUGAAAACCCGGGGCUUAACCCCUGGCUUGCAGUGGAUACGGACAGACUAGAGGUAGGUAGGGGAGAAUGGAAUUCCCGGUGUAGCGGUGAAAUGCGCAGAUAUCGGGAGGAACACCGGUGGCGAAGGCGGUUCUCUGGGCCUUACCUGACGCUGAGACGCGAAAGCGUGGGGAGCGAACAGG